AAAAAAAGAAGGACAGAGGAGAAAAUGAAGGAAAGAAAUGGAGGAAGGAAAGGCAAAGGAAAAAGAAAAAGAAAGGAAAGGAAAUUUAACAGUUUGCGAGGAGAAGAGUGAUGUUGUGAAUCAAGGAUGGAAAGGCCUGCUUGUGGGCUUUUCCUGAAGAGACUUUCCCCUCCUGUCUGGGCCAAAAACCCUUGAACAAACCUCAGUCCCAUGGGAGAUAAGGGAGUCCCUUCUUCUGUGCCAGUGGCUUCCCGUCAUUCUCACUCACCAAGCACUUGAAGCUCCAACUCAGGGCUGCGCUUAAGGACAUUUCCAUCCUCUGUGGCAGCCUCGCACCAGUAUAACCCAGAGUCUUCUCUUCUAGCAGUUAGUAUUUGGUAUUCAGAGGAUGUGUUCCUGCCUCGCAGGGUCUUGCUGCCCAUGUAGAAGGAGAAGUAAAGCUGCAAACCAGGCCUCUGCAAGAGCAACUUUGUUUCACAGCUCAGGGUGACCAGAUUCCCCUCCAGGAGUGGGGAUGUCACAGAUGCAUUCAGCACUGGAGCUGGAAAUAGCUCUAAGGAGAAAGUUGAUGGGGGACAAGGUUGCCUGUUUAGCAUCCAGGUCCUUUUCAC
rnacentral:lncRNA from 10 species